UACGGGGGGGGCAAGCGUUGUUCGGAAUUACUGGGCGUAAAGCGUGCGCAGGCGGCUUCUCAAGUCAGGGGUGAAAGCCCAGAGCUUAACUCUGGAAUUGCCUUUGAGACUGAGAGGCUUGAGUACGGGAGAGGUGAGUGGAAUUCCCAGUGUAGAGGUGAAAUUCGUAGAUAUUGGGAAGAACACCGGUGGCGAAGGCGGCUCACUGGCCCGUAACUGACGCUCAUGCACGACAGCGUGGGGGAUCAAACAGG
rnacentral:rRNA from 1 species